rnacentral:lncRNA from 1 species
CAUCCAAUAUUCAGAAGCCCCUAACACAAAAAAAAAAACGUAGGAGCUUCUAUCUUAACCAAAAUCACAUGGCAGCCCCUAAAUCCUAAAACACAUAAUAUGAAAAUAGAGCACCCUCUACAUACCAAAAACACAUUAGCCACUUUCAUUUAUUCCAUACUUCAUCUACUCUUCAUCACUGUCCACAGGUUACAUUGCCAUUCACUAACUCCUCCUUCUCCACUUCCAGCAACCCGUAAGCCGAACCAGUCGGGUCUGGACACUAGGGACAACCCCUGUCCUGAUGGCCUUCAUGUGUAGGACGUGGCGGUUGUCAAGCUUCUUCUGUUUAGGCUCGCUCACGCUAAUGGAGCCUCAAUAAUCGGCAUUCGCUCCAUGCCGGACUGGUUCACCGCUGGUGGUCUCUAACAGGGCUUGUUAUGGCAGCCGCUCCACCAUGAAUCCUUCACCGGUACACAACCCAAUUCGUCUUCCAACCGUAGCAUCCCCUUGCCCCGCCGGUUCGACCAUGACAACUGACCCGUGGCCAUAAAUCUUCAUGGAAGCCAUGGGGAAGCCACGCGAUAGUGGUAUCCCCUUUUCUAUUUUUUAUUUCAUUUUUGUUUUAUUUUAUUAUUAUUAUUAUUAUUUGUAUAUUUAUUUACUUUUAUUUUUUUAUGUUGAUUGUUUAGUGUUUUGUAUAGACUUAUAAUCCUUAUUGCGUUUUAGGUUGGUGACAUUCCUAUUUGGCACGAGGCAUUUUUUUAUUUUGUAUUUGUUAUUUGGUGCCGAAGUUGUAUCCCUAUGUAAACUCCUUAAAUCAUCAUUAUAAAAAAUAACAAAAAAAGUAUGUAUAUUUUUAUUAUUGAUUCUAUUUUUACUCGAGCAUAAAAAUAGAAUUUAGGUGAGAAUUUGGGAGAUCGGUAAAUGAACCAAACUAUAUAUUCCUUUCCCUUCCAAUAGAAAAGUGGUGAGCGGUUGUCGUAC